rnacentral:rRNA from 1 species
CUAUAAUGCAGUCGGACGGGAUCCGUCGGAGAGCUUGCUCGAAGACGGUGAGAGUGGCGCACGGGUGCGUAACGCGUGAGCAACCUACCUCUAUCAGGGGGAUAGCCUCUCGAAAGAGAGAUUAACACCGCAUAACAUAUGUGACCGGCAUCGGUUGGAUAUUAAAUAUUUAUAGGAUAGAGAUGGGCUCGCGUGACAUUAGCUAGUUGGUAGGGUAACGGCUUACCAAGGCGACGAUGUCUAGGGGCUCUGAGAGGAGAAUCCCCCACACUGGUACUGAGACACGGACCAGACUCCUACGGGAGGCAGCAGUAAGGAAUAUUGGUCAAUGGGCGGAAGCCUGAACCAGCCAUGCCGCGUGCAGGACGACUGCCCUAUGGGUUGUAAACUGCUUUUGUCCAGGAAUAAACCUUUCUACGUGUAGGGAGCUGAAUGUACUGGAAGAAUAAGGAUCGGCUAACUCCGUGCCAG